rnacentral:lncRNA from 1 species
CAAGAGAGGAUCUGUUCAGAUGGGAUUUUACAGUUUGUCUUGCAUUUUUCUUCACAGUUGGCCCUCUCAUCUUCCAGUGUGCACAGAACUACAGAGGCAGAACAUAAAUUGGAGAAGGACCAGAAACACAAUUGUCUCUUAUUCAAGAGGGAUCCCCCUUCCAUCACUUGGGUCCUCUCUUUUGCAGGGAGGUAUGAUCUAAAUCUCUGUCAGGAAGGAGGCAAGAAGCCAAGUGGCAGGAUAUAUGCUGACAAAGCUGAAAAGAUGACAAUCUCACAGAAGAAAAUUGGAGACAGCAGACUUUCCAGGUAUGGCUCUUUACAGUACACAAGAAAAACCUUAUGGGACUUGGCCAACUGUUUAUUACUGAGAGUUUUAGAGAAAGAGGAUUCUACAGAUACACCAGCUAUUGUAAUGCUGUGUUAUCAUAAAUCAUUGUUUAAAUUACAUUUGAGGUGUCUUUGCUGUUUUUACUGUAUAUUGUUUUGGGAGAUUGUAUGCUAAUAAAUGGUACUCCUAGGUGGUAGCAAAAAUUGUCGUGCUGUCUACUCAAUGCUUACACAGUUGUUUUCUCUUUGCAAUUUAGCAAAAUAUAAAACAACAGAGUUUGGCACAGGAAUUGUAUAGCUUUUUUAAUACUUGAGAA